GCAUCGAUGAAGAACGUAGCGAAUUACGAUAUGUAAUGUGAAUUGCAGAAUUCAGUGAAUCAUCGAAUUUUUGAACGCACCUUGCGCUCUUUGGUAUUCCGAAGAGCAUGCCUGUUUGAGUAUCAU
rnacentral:rRNA from 1 species